CCAAGAAAGAGAUGGCAAAUCUUAAUGUGCUCUCAGCACCUCUGUUUAUUCUGCUCAUGAUUUCUUUAGAGACAAAAAUGAUCGAAUGUGCACGAGUUUUUACCAUAAUUAAUGACUGCAAAGAGACAAUAUGGCCUGCAAUUAUGCCAGGCGAAAACUUCAAUGGAGGUGGAUUAGCAUUGAAAUCAGGACAAUCUAUUGUUUUCAAUGCCCCGGUUGGAUGGGUUGGUCGAAUAUGGGCUCGCACCGGUUGCAAGUUCGACAAAAACGACAAUGGAUCAUGCCAAACCGGUGCCUGUGGCACAUCUCUAAAGUGUAAGACUUCAGGUCAAACCCCAGCUUCGCUAGCUGAAUUCACUUUGGCAGCUGUGGAUUACUAUGAUGUUAGCUUAGUGGAUGGGUUCAAUUUGCCAUUAGUUGUUACACCGAUUAAUGGUCAAGGGAAUUGCAGCAUUGCCGGGUGUGACAUGGACUUAAGGUCUAAUUGCCCAUCGGAACUCGCUGUCAAGUCGAAAGGAAAGGUUAUCGGUUGCCGAAGUGCCUGUGAUGUGUUCAAUACUGAUGAGUAUUGCUGUAGAGGAGUUUAUGGGAAUCCUGUUAUAUGUCAGCCUACAUAUUAUUCCAACAAGUUCAAAGAGGCUUGUCCUACUGCUUAUAGUUAUGCAUAUGAUGAUCCCACCAGCAUUUUUACUUGCUCUGGAACUGAUUAUGUUAUCACGUUUUGUGCAUCUAGGUGAGCAAACCUUUCGGAUUACGAGUUUUAAUUUUGACAGGACUUGAUUAUAUUUUAUUGUUAUUUUUUGUUGAUAAUCUUUCAGGAAGCAGCCAGUUUGCACAUACCAUAAUAACAAGCUUAUUUGUGGUGGAUCACAAGGAUUAAAAUCCUUAAUUGGAGGAUGGUGGGCUCUCAUGCUUGCACUGCCAUUAAUGGUUAAUUGGUGAAUUAUAUAGUAGUUUAUCUUUUGGGUUUUCAAUUAAUCAGAGCGUAGUGGUUUUAUUCUUUGAUAAUUAGGCUUUCCCAGUACAAUUUGUGGAAGGAUUUUGUUCUUCUCUUUGCUGGAUAAAAUGUCCAAGGGGAAACUGUAAUUAUAGAUUUGUUAUUGCUUUUUUUUUUUCUUCUUGUCCAAGGCCAUAAACCAUUUGCAAUUAUCCAUCCAGAUGUAAUGUUCAAUUCAAUCUAACAUUUUUAAUUCUGAUUUUCU
rnacentral:misc_RNA from 1 species